rnacentral:lncRNA from 1 species
GUGUCCUGUGCAAGCGUCUUGCUUGUGUGUCCCCACCGACGUGUGCCAGUACAUAAGGUUCUCUGUGUCACAAGGCUCACAAUUCAUUUAGUGGGCAUCAGUUUAAAAUCUGAAUGAUGAAGAGUGUUACUGCACAGCUAAAUUGGCAGCUUUUUUAGUGGUAUAUAAAAUAAUGGGUGUUUCAAAAUAAAUAUCUUCUUGGAUUAGUGAUAUCAAAUUUACACCACAAAGAUUCUGAAUGGUGUGAAAAGAGGGAGUUGGCAAGCACAGAAGUGUCUACACAGGAGGAGUGUCUACACAGGUACAGUGUGCACACAGGAGCAGUGUCUACACAGGAGGAGUGUGUACACAGGAGCAGUGUCUACACAGGAGCAGUGUGCACACAGGCAGUGUCUAUACAGGAGCAGUGUACACACAGGCAGUGUCUACACAGGAGGAGUGUGCACACAGGCAGUGUCUAUACAGGAGCAGUGUAUACACGGGGCAGUGUCUACACAGGAGGAGUGUGCACACAGGGCAGUGUCUAUACAGGCACAGUGUGUACACAGGGCAGUGUACACACAGGAGCAGUGUACACACAGGGCAGUGUCCACACAGGAGCAGUGUGCACACAGGGCAGCGUCCACACAGGAGUAGUGUCUACACAGGAGUAGUGUGCACAAAGGGCAGUGUCUACACAGGAGUAGUGUGCACACAGGGCAGUGUCUAUACAGGAGCAGUGUAUACACGGGGCAGUGUCUACACAGGAGGAGUGUGCACACAGGGCAGUGUCUAUACAGGCACAGUGUGUACACAGGGCAGUGUGCACACAGGAGGAGUGUGCACACAGGUAAUGUGCACAAAGGGCAGUGUCUACACAGGAGGAGGUGCACACAGGGCAGUGUGCACCCAGGAGCAGUGUGCACACAGGCAGUGUCUAUACAGGAGCAGUUGCACACAGGAGCAGUGUCUAUACAGGCACAGUGUGUACACAGGGCAGUGUGUACACAGAGCAGUGUGCACACAGGAGCAGUGUGUACACAGGGCAGUGUAUACACAGAGC